rnacentral:rRNA from 1 species
UACGGGGGGGGCAAGCGUUGUUCGGAAUUACUGGGCGUAAAGGGCGCGUAGGCGGCUCGCUAAGUUGGAUGUGAAAACUCUGGGCUUAACCCAGAGCCUGCAUCCAAAACUGGCAAGCUUGAGUACUGGAGGGGAACGCGGAAUUCCUGGUGUAGCGGUGAAAUGCGUAGAUAUCAGGAGGAACACCGGUGGCGAAGGCGGCUUUCUGGACAGUAACUGACGCUGGAGGCGCGAAAGCUAGGGGAGCAAACAGG